GACGAACGCUGGCGGCGUGCUUAACACAUGCAAGUCGAGCGGAAAGGCCCUUUGGGGUACUCGAGCGGCGAACGGGUGAGUAACACGUGAGUAACCUGCCCCUGACUCUGGGAUAAGCCUGGGAAACUGGGUCUAAUACCGGAUGCGACCACUAGCGGCAUCGCUUGGGUGGUGGAAAGUCGGUGUCUUUGGACGCUGUUCGGUUGGGGAUGGGCUCGCGGCCUAUCAGCUUGNGGUGAGGUAGUGGCUCACCAAGGCGACGACGGGUAGCCGGCCUGAGAGGGCGACCGGCCACACUGGGACUGAGACACGGCCCAGACUCCUACGGGAGGCAGCAGUGGGGAAUCUUGCGCAAUGGGCGAAAGCCUGACGCAGCGACGCCGCGUGAGGGAUGACGGCCU
rnacentral:rRNA from 1 species